rfam:Lysobacter daejeonensis GH1-9 contig4, whole genome shotgun sequence.
GGGGGUGCACUGGCUUCGACGGGGGUUGCAAAGUCGCCUGGCGCAUGCCGAGGGGGUAGCUUUCCUCGUAAAUCCAGCUGCAAAACUCUAGUUGCCAACGACGACAACUACGCUCUCGCCGCUUAAGGCGUAAGCCCCGAAACUGCUUGUGUCCGUGCUCGCAGCGUAGGGUCAUUAUCACGGAAUCGCCGGGGGUGGCCGCCUGUCAGCCCCUAGUUAACCCAAAGCAGGCUGGUCCUUGGGUGCGCUUUGCACACCGUGCUGCCCCGGGACGAGAUCUAACGGUGAGCUAAGCAUGUAGUGCCGGGGAUGGAGUGCCUUCGGACGGCGGUUCGAUUCCGCCCACCUCCACCA